AUUACUAUAAAAUUAUGGUAAUAGUUAUUAACACAAAUUUAAGUUAUGUAACAAAUAGAUUUUAAUGUAUUGUUAUAAAAUAGAUACAUAUUUACAUGUUUCUACUUUUAAUCGGUUUUGUUCGGUUUAAUCGGUUAUAUACCAAACCAUAUCCAAAUCCUACGGUUUUUAUAAAAUUAUAUCCAUUCGGUUUAUAUGGUAUAUAUCAAAACCAAACCAUAUUGUCUAUUUCGGUUCGGUUCGGUUCGGU
rnacentral:lncRNA from 1 species